AACGAACGCUGGCGGCGUGCCUAACACAUGCAAGUCGAACGAGAAAGGGGCUUCGGCCCUGAGUAAAGUGGCGCACGGGUGAGUAACACGUAGGUAACCUGCCUCCAAGAUUGGGAUAACCUGUCGAAAGACGGGCUAAUACCGGAUGAGACCACAGCUCCUUCGGGAGCAGGGGUCAAAGGUAGCCUCUACUUGUAAGCUAUCACUUGGAGAUGGGCCUGCGCACCAUUAGCUAGUUGGUGGGGUAACGGCCUACCAAGGCAAAGAUGGUUAGCUGGUCUGAGAGGAUGAUCAGCCACACUGGAACUGAGACACGGUCCAGACUCCUACGGGAGGCAGCAGUGGGGAAUAUUGCGCAAUGGGCGAAAGCCUGACGCAGCAACGCCGCGUGAGUGAUGAAGGCCUUCGGGUCGUAAAGCUCUGUCGGAGGGAACGAAUGCUCUUGAGGUUAAUAGCCUCGGGAAGUGACGGUACCUUCAAAGGAAGCACCGGCUAACUCUGUGCCAGCCGCCGCGGUAAUAC
rnacentral:rRNA from 1 species